CCCUGCAUGUGGCAGGGGGGUUGCAGAUUCGUGAUCCUUGAGGUCCCUUCCAACCCUGGCCAUUCUGUGAUUCUGCUCUGUCUCAUUUCUAGUACGGAUAUGUGUAAUGGAUAGAGAACCACUGGGUAUCCUUUACUUGGAAGGUGGUGCAUAACUUUGCAAUUGGACAGUCCUUUUGAAACAGUUGCAUGACUUGUGUAUUACAGAAGUGUUCUCUGGAAGUUGUUUCAGCUGUCGUUUCCACUCUGGCAUGAAUUGUGGCUACCACAUAAUCUACACGAAAGCCAAGUAUUGCUCACUGUUGUGGCGUCGUUGGGUCCUUGAGGAUUGAUUGUCCAUGCUGGCUCUUAUUGUCAGACAUGCAGAAAAGUGUUGGGAACCUUUUUAGGGAACGUUGGCUUUCCACAAUGUCUCUCUCUGAAAACAGAUCCUGUUUUGCUUUUGUGUAGUAAAGAGUUAAUUUAAAAUACAUGUCAUGUUUCGUUUAUUUUCUUCCUUCUCAUUCUCAGGGAAGAUGAAGAGGGCUGGAGUAUAUGCCAGGUAUUACAGAAUACUUCAGAAGUCCUGUGUUAGGUCACCUGGUACCAUGCUGUAAUGCCAGAUUUUGUAGUAGCGAUUUAACACGAGACAGAUUGACUAGAUGCAGCUAAGAUGCAGCACGUGCAUGACUGUGGUUUAUCCCACACCAGAUGAAAUGUGGAGAUGUCUCUAUAGUCAUCCAGUGUAUUUACAGUAAACUUAUUUUCCUUGAAACUGAAAUGUUUCUUUCCUAUUCAUAUUUUUUUUUUCCACUGUUGUUGGACUAUGGUUUACCAUGCUAGUUUAUUGGGAGCUUACAGGGAGCUACAACUUGAAAAGCUGUAUAUAUGGUGCUGGAGUGUUUCCUUCAGUGAGCUUAUUUUGAGUUGGACAAAAAUACUCAGACUUGCUUCAUUUUUUUAAAUUAUUUUUUCAAAUAGUUUCUUUUUUUCCUCAUUCAGUUCAGUUGUGUGCCACUAAUGAUCUAAUUCAGAUACGAGUCUGCUUCUCUAAGGUCAGUUCUGAAACCAGACUCUGCCUGGUAAAGGUUAAGGGUUUCAGUGCUCUCUGGAUUUACUGGCUCUCUGCCAUAAAGUCUUCCCCAAGCUGCACUAAUUAUGGAAGUGGCAGAAAAUGCUAAGGGUUCAUGCUCUUUAGGAAGAUAUAUAAAAUCUAACUGAUGAUCCAUGUGCAAAGACCUUUUUCUUGUCUGUCGACACUUACACGUGAACUUUAAUCAUUAGUUGUGUUGUGACUUUUUUUCUGUCCUGCUUUAAUGUUGAAGUGAACUUUGCAUAAAAUAUCCAAGAGUGAAAGAGACCAGGGGGGACAAAAAAAA